GCCCUCACAGCUCAACUGGAUUAAGCAACGGAUUUCUAAUCCGUAGAUUGUUGGUUCGAGUCCAACUGAGGGUA
rnacentral:tRNA from 1 species